CCUACGGGGCGCAGCAGUGAGGAAUAUUGGUCAAUGGGCGGAAGCCUGAACCAGCCAAGUCGCGUGAGGGAAGACGGCCCUACGGGUUGUAAACCUCUUUUGCCGGGGAGCAAUGCCCAGCUCGCGAGCUGGGAAGGAGAGUACCCGGAGAAAAAGCAUCGGCUAACUCCGUGCCAGCAGCCGCGGUAAUACGGAGGAUGCGAGCGUUAUCCGGAUUUAUUGGGUUUAAAGGGUGCGCAGGCGGAAUGUCAAGUCAGCGGUAAAAUUUCGGGGCUCAACCCCGUCGUGCC
rnacentral:rRNA from 1 species